rnacentral:sRNA from 1 species
AAAAAAAGACAAAAAAAC